rnacentral:rRNA from 1 species
GAUGAACGCUGGCGGCGUGCCUAAUACAUGCAAGUAGAACGCUGAAGGAAGGAGCUUGCUCUUUCCGGAUGAGUUGCGAACGGGUGAGUAACGCGUAGGUAACCUGCCUGGUAGCGGGGGAUAACUAUUGGAAACGAUAGCUAAUACCGCAUAACAGAAGAUGUUGCAUGAUAUCUACUUAAAAGAUGCAAUUGCACCACUACCAGAUGGACCUGCGUUGUCUUAGCUAGUUGGUGAGGUAACGGCUCACCAAGGCGACGAUACAUAGCCGACCUGAGAGGGGGAUCGGCCACACUGGGACUGGGACAAGGCCCAGACUCCUACGGGAGGCAGCAGUAGGGAAUCUUCGGCAAUGGACGGAAGGCUGACCGGGCAACGCCGGGUGAGGGGAGAAGGUUUUCGGAUCGGAAAGCUCUGUUGUAAGAGAAGAAAGAGGGUGGGAGUGGAAAGUGCACACUGUGACGGUAUCUAACCAGAAAGGGACGGCUAACUACGUG